CAAGAUCCGUUGAUCAAUGAGAGAAUGGAGAUGUGGGAGCUAGGGCUCAAGACUCAACAAGAUGAUAUUCUUGAUCUUCUGAUUAACCUCAAGAGCGAAUCGGACGAAACUAAGCCCCUCUUGUCACUUCGAGAGAUUAAAGCACAAAUUCUUGUAAGUAUUUAGUUUAACCUAAUUAACUAUUUGUUCUUUUUCUUUUUACAAUAUUUCAAUUAAGGGUUGCAUUCUACAGAAACAGAGCUUAUACAGGAAAAUCAGAAACAUUGAACAUGGCAGUAAACGCUGUUGAACGUAUAAAUAAUUUGUUGAACGUUUGGGGCUGGGGAUUCAAACUUCUGUUCAUGUUCGCGUUGAACAUUGAGCGAACAAACGCUCUCCUCCUUUCUCUGUCUAUAUUUGCAUUUCUAUAGAACUUUGCCCUCUUUUUCUCAAUAUUUAAAAUUAGAUUCUCAUAAAAAAGGUGAAAUUUGAGUGUAAAAUGGUGUUGGUUAUACAGGAAAUAAUGAUUGCGACAGUUGAUAAUCCGUCAAAUGCAGCAGAAUGGGCAUUGGCGGAGAUGAUCAAUCAACCGGAUAUUUUUGCAAAGGCGUGUGAAGAACUAGACCGAGUUGUAGGCAAGAAUAGGCUCGUUGAGGAAUCAGAUCUGCCUAAUUUAAACUAUGUGAAGGCUUGUGUGAAAGAGGCAUUCAGGCUACAUCCACUGGCACCUUUCAAUCCGACUCAUGUUUCGAGCAAGGAUCUUGUGGUGGGUGGCUACCUCAUCCCAAAAGGGAGCCAUGUGUUGCUCAGUCGCCCCGGCUUGGGGCGAAAUCCUAGGGUUUGGGACGAGCCACUUCGUUUCAAGCCCGGGCGUCACAUUGUUGAUGAGUCCUCAGAAGUGGUGCUUGUGGAUCAUGAAUUGCGCAUGUUAUCAUUCAGUACAGGGAGACGAGGAUGUCCCGGCAUUGUGCUUGGUUCUACCAUAAGCACUAUGCUUCUGGCUAGACUUAUUCAGGGUUUUAGCUGGAGGCCACCCCUUGGUAUGAAUAACAUUGAUUUGGUUGAGUCGGGGCAUGACUUGACAUUGGCUAAGCCUCUCAUUGCUCAUGCAACACCUCGAUUGGACUCACAAAUUUAUCUUUAAUUCAUGUGAAAAUAUAUAAAUUUUCAUAUAAUUAGGUGAACACAUUAUUUUCAGGUCAGCUCUAGGGUUUCGUGUUAUUUUCGAGGUAGCCUAUUGGGUGUUGGGUUAUUCAGAUACUGCUAUUAGCUCUAGGGUUUUUGUGUUGUUUUUGCUACCGCGUAUUAAAAUAGUAGCCACAAGAGGUUAUGAAUUAAAUUUAAGUUAGAAAUCGUUAUUGAUAUAAAUUUGGUAUUUGAAUAUAUAUACUGAUUUCAUGUAUUGAAUAAUAACGUAUGAACUAUUGAAUAGUAUUGCAUAAAUUAAAGAAUAAUAAGUUUCCUGUAUUAUUUUUCUCUAACUGCAAUGAAGUAGUAUAUGCAGUACGGAAAAAAAAAUAUUAAUCUCGGCUCCAAACUCGUGCAAGAAACUCCAAAUUUGACAUUGAAUAACUUGCUGUUCAACAAGAAAGACACAAAAGAAAAUCACUAUUUAUCUUACCUUUAGUGAGAAUGGUAGCUGUAAAGUGAGAAAUUAAGGUUAAUUUUCAAUAAUUCAUAAUUAAUCUCUAAUCUUCAUUCUCACUCAUCUCAUAUUUCUCUGCAACUCCCAAAACAAGCAUGGCAGCAGCUUAUGCAACUCUGGUUUCUGCUAUGAAUAUCAUAAACAACCUUCACCAUCAUCCACGCCCUCCUAUUUCUCUCCCCAUUCAACAAGUUGAGUCUCUCACUCAAAAGAUCAGUUUCCUGCUCGAAUUUCUCGAGGGCUAUAACCCCCAUCGUGGCUACUCCAAAGAAGAAGAUCCAUUGGAGUCUCGCAUUGCAGAUGCAGCUUAUGCGGCCGAACACGCCAUUGAAUCUCAUAUUUUUGAACACUACACAAAUAAUGGGCAAAAUAUGAUGAGUUAUGAUGGCUUGUAUGAAGCUCUAGAGAAGGUGAUAGAAGAUAUGGCUUCUAUCGAAGAGGAGGCCAAGAUAAUUCAAGUUCAACAUCAGCUGCACACGAAGUCAACGCCUUCGGAUUCCUCGAGAUCUUCUUCGAUUCCGCAGCAGAGUAGCAUGGUGGGUGUUGAUGAUGUCAAGCGUCAAAUGAUGGAUAAGCUCACUUCUGAUCGCCUUCGUCUACAAAUCAUUCCCAUUGUAGGGAUGGGCGGCUCUGGUAAGACCACUCUUGCUAGAACUGCUUAUGAAGAGCAUCUUAUUAAGGAGCGUUUUGAGAUUUGUGCUUGGGCUACCAUCUCUCAAGAAUAUGUCAUUAGAGAAAUUUUCGCAAUACUUCUUCGUCAGUUUAAUAUAGGAGUUGAUGACAAUUUGAGUGAGCAUGGAUUAGGAGAAAAGUUGUAUAAACAUCUAUAUGGUAGAAGAUACCUAAUUAUAAUGGAUGAUAUGUGGAGCAUUGAUGCGUGGGAUAGAGUUAGGAAUUAUUUUCCAAAUAACGAAAAUGGUAGCAGACUAGUGGUAACAACUAGGCUAUCAGAUUUGGCUUCUAAAUUACCUAACUCUGACAUCAUUGGGAUGAAACUUUUGGAUGAGGCUGAUAGUUGUGAGCUUCUAUGCAAAACUGUGUUUGGGAAAGAAGGGUUGCCCUCUUGAAUUGGAGGAAAUCGGAAAAGAGAUUGGAAAAAGCUGCAAAGGACUUCCAUUAUCAAUUGUUGUGGUGAGAUGAGUGAAAGAUAAUAUAAAUAAAUCCCACAAGUCAAUCUUCAAUAAAUUAGUAAACUGUGAAAUAUUUUGGUGGGAUGAGUGAAAGAAAGAUUGAAUAUAAUACUAACAUUCAAUAUGUUAUGAAUAUAAUGAAUGAAGUGUGAUCACGAUUUAUAAGACAAAUCGCCAAGAAUUAUUAGCUAGCUACUGUUUAAUAAUGCAUACGAAAUUUAUAUAAGGUUAAUGAGUAUGAAUUAUUUUAACAUAUUUAAUGAAUUAUCAAACGUGUAUAUUAAAGUAAACUGUAAAUAAAAACUUAGCAACUGUCACGAUUCUUAAUAUAACAUUUAACAAUUCAUAUAAUAUGACACUUCGUAAAAUAAAUCUAAACUGAAAAGUCCCUAUAUGAAUGACAAAUUAAUUUGUAACUAAUACAAUAUUAAUAAAUUAUGAGAAUAUAUAAUGCCUUUUUAAAGUGGUCUAAUCGGGGAAGCAGACUAUUAUAGAAUUAAAAGUUCAUAAAUUGCUUAUUAACUGUUUAAAAAUUACCAUUAAGUUCAUUAUAUGAAAUUAAUGGGCCACUAUUUUCAGCUUGGUUAAGGAUUCUUAAAACUUAACAAUUUGGAGUACGAAUCAAGAAUCUGUAAUAUUGAGAAGAUUGGUUUAUUCUAAAAAUUUAACACUUAACAAUUUAUAUGAAUUCUUCUAACAAUUCACGAUUCUUAAAACUUAAUUAGGAACUAUCACAAAAUUCAUUUAUCUUGCAUUCAUAGUUCACGAUACUGAAUUCACCAAUAUAUUUGGAGUACGAAUCAAGAAACAGUAAUAUUGAGAAAUCAAAUAUAGUUUUCAAAAUUAUUUGGAGUUUUUAUCAACAAGAAAUUGGAAUUAAUGGAAUAAUAAAAAUUAUGAAGAACAACGCAAAUACCUGGGUGAUCCAUGAUUAUCUUUGAUAAAAAAGUUGUGAUGUUGAAUGAACGUCUGAUGACAGAGGAAAGGGCCGGUCUUGCAUGCGGCGGUCGCACUCCAGUGCGACGGGUCCGCCCCGACCCGCGCCCGAUCCGACCCGUGCCCAGAUCCAAAAUCCUGAAUCCUAAAUUAUUACAUUUGUUUAUAAUAAUUAUUAUUACUUUUAAUAAGCAUGAAAUAACAUUUGUUCGCACAAAUGUAUACUUAUAUAAAUAUAGGUAUUUACCUUCAGUUAAUAUUAAGUAUUAUAUUUUCUAAACCCUAAAUUCUAUAAACUAAACCCUAAACCCUGUAAACUAAACCCUAAGCCUGAACACUAAACCCUAAUAGGAGUAUGUACUUUAAUUUAAUAAGCAUAAGAUAUACAUUUGGUCGCACAAAUAUAUACUUAUAUUAAUAUAAAUAUUUACCUUCAUUCAAUAUAAAAUAUUAUACAUAUCAAUAUACAUUUAUAUGAACAAAUGUAUAUAUUAUGUUUAUUAAAAGUAACAAUUAUUAUAAACAAAUGUAAUAAUUAGGAGUAUGGGUCAAACCCACGUGAGUCAGGGUCCGGGUCAGGAGGGCGGGUUUGGAGCCGGGUAGACCCGUCGCACACCUGUGCGACGGUCGGCGCAGAGGAAAUUGUGAUUCACGUUUGUAGAAGAGAAAUCAACUAAAGCAAUAACGUGUUAAUGGCUAAUCAUGAAUUAUCAAAUAUUUGGUUUGUCAAGAUAUGGAAGUAAUUUUAUUAUUAAAUCUAGUCAAAUCCCUGUAAAACACGAUUUGGUUUGUUAAGAUUGGUUAAAUUACACUAAACUCCUCAUACUAUAUAGACGUGUUUUUGAUGUAUGAAUUUUAAGAUGAUUUCAAGCCAUUGGAUCUUGCAGAUCAAAUGGACAAAAAUAGUUCGUAUUUUAUACACUUAAUAUUGCUCUUAUUAUAGCCCCACCCCUAAAAUAGAUUAACUUAAAUAUUAAGGCAAAAAAUAAUUAAAAUAAGAUUAUUAAGUUUUAAUUAAUUAUAGAACAAAUAAUUCAAAGCCUAAUCUCUAAUCUUCUCUUCAAAAUCCACGCCAUCUUCAACAAAUACUCUACUUCCAUCCACGAGCAUCCAUCUCCAAUCCAUUUAUAUCACAAAUCAUGUAAAACCAUAUAAAACCAUAGCAAAACACACACUAAAUUAAGUAACUAAAAUGCCACACAUCAAUGCUACUUCACAAAUAAUAAUUUUUAUAAAAGCAAAUGAUAAUUUGUAUAAAAUAAACGAUACUUUAUACAAAAACACAUAUAACACAUUUAACACAUUCAUGAAAAUGACAUCAUUAAAACAUUUAACAUGCAAACGAUACAUUUCAGAAGGAUCGAAUUAGUCUGGACAGGAUUGGCUAUAAAAGCCGAAACAUUAACUCGUGAAGCUGCAACACAACAUUCAAUUCAAACCAUUGAAAUUAACAAACAUGAAAAUCGAAACAAGACUUCCAUCGUUGCUUGCAAUAUUAUAUUUUUCAGUUUCCCUAAUCUUCUUGAAACUCAUAUAUUCCAUCAAGAAAAGAUCGACAGCGCCACCGCCACCGCUGCCGCCGGGGCCGCCCGCGUACCCGGUCGUGGGCAGCCUGCCGGAGAUGCUGUCGAAGAAGCCCGCAUUCCGAUGGAUGCACAAUCUCAUGCAAAAACUCAACACGGAGAUCCUCUGCGUCCGCCUCGGCGGCGUCCACGUCAUCGCGGUCGCUUCUCCGGAGCUUUCCAGAGAGUUCCUGAAGAAGCACGACGCGGCCUUCGCCUCCCGGCCCGACGCCGUCUCGGCCCGCCUCAUCAGCGACGGAUACUCGGCGCUGAUCCUCUCUCCCGCGGGCGAGCAGUGGAAGAAAAUGAGGAGGGUCAUGGUGUCGGAGGUGCUGGCGGCGGGCGUGUUCCGACGGUUCCACUCGACGAGACGCGAGGAGGCCGAUCACCUCGUGCGUACGUGUACAGCCGCCGCAACGGGGCGGUGAACGUGAGAGAUGCGGCGCGGCAUUACUGUGCCAAUUUGAUCAGGAAGAUGGUGUUUGGUGAGAGGUUUUUCGGGGCGGGGAUGGACGACGGAGGGCCGGGAAACGAGGAGAGGGAACACGUGAUGGAUUGUUCACUAUGCUUUCGUAUCUCUAUGGAUUCGCCAUAGCCGAUUUUGUGCCGUGGUUGGAGGUUUUCGAUUUGGAUGGGCAUAAGAGGAUUGUGAGCAACGCCAUUAAGAAGGUAAGGAAAUAGCAUUUCAUUUUGAUUUUCAUAUUUUGACGAUGAAGCGCAGUCUGUUGGUAAGACGGUUCUCCUCCAAUCAAUAGGUCGGUGUUCGAGUCGAGUCACCUAGAAGGUUAGAAUGUGAGUGUGUUUUUCCUUUCUUUGGGUGUAAUAAUUUUAUUUUAUUUUUUAAAAAAAGGUAAGGAAAUACCAAGAUCCGUUGAUCAAUAAGAGAAUGGAGAUGUGGCAGCUAGGGCUCAAGACUCAACAAGAUGAUAUUCUUGAUCUUCUGAUUAACCUCAAGAGCGAAUCGGACGAAACUAAGCCCCUCUUGUCACUUCGAGAGAUUAAAGCACAAAUUCUUGUAAGUAUUUAGUUUAACCUAAUUAACUAUUUGUUCUUUUUCUUUUUACAAUAUUUCAAUUAAGGGUUGCAUUCUACAGAGCUUAUACAGGAAAAUCAGAAACAUUGAACAUGGCAGUAAACACUGUUGAACAUAUAAAUAAUUUGUUGAACGUUUGGGGCUGGGGAUUCGAACUUCUGUUCAUGUUCGCGUUGAACAUUGAGCGAACAAACGCUCUCCUCCUUUCUCUGUCUUAUAUUUGCAUUUCUAUAGAACUUUGCCCUCUUUUUCUCAAUAUUUAAAAUUAGAUUCUCAUAAAAAAGGUGAAAUUUGAGUGUAAAAUGGUGUUGGUUAUACAGGAAAUAAUGAUUGCGACAGUUGAUAAUCCGUCAAAUGCAGCAGAAUGGGCAUUGGCGGAGAUGAUCAAUCAACCGGAUAUUUUUGCAAAGGCGUGUGAAGAACUAGACCGAGUUGUAGGCAAGAAUAGGCUCGUUGAGGAAUCAGAUCUGCCUAAUUUAAACUAUGUGAAGGCUUGUGUGAAAGAGGCAUUCAGGCUACAUCCACUGGCACCUUUCAAUCCGACUCAUGUUUCGAGCAAGGAUCUUGUGGUGGGUGGCUACCUCAUCCCAAAAGGGAGCCAUGUGUUGCUCAGUCGCCCCGGCCUGGGGCGAAAUCCUAGGGUUUGGGACGAGCCACUUCGUUUCAAGCCCGGGCGUCACAUUGUUGAUGAGUCCUCAGAAGUGGUGCUUGUGGAUCAUGAAUUGCGCAUGUUAUCAUUCAGUACAGGGAGACGAGGAUGUCCCGGCAUUGUGCUUGGUUCUACCAUAAGCACUAUGCUUCUGGCUAGACUUAUUCAGGGUUUUAGCUGGAGGCCACCCCUUGGUAUGAAUAACAUUGAUUUGGUUGAGUCGAGGCAUGACUUGACAUUGGCUAAGCCUCUCAUUGCUCAUGCAACACCUCGAUUGGACUCACAAAUUUAUCUUUAAUUCAUGUGAAAUUAAUAUAUAAAUUUUCAUAUAAUUAGGUGAACACAUUAUUUUCAGGUCAGCUCUAGGGUUUCGUGUUAUUUUCGAGGUAGCCUAUCGGGUGUUGGGUUAUUCAGUCACUGCUAUUAGCUCUAGGGUUUUUGUGUUGUUUUUGCUACCGCGUAUUAAAAUAGUAGCCACAAGAUGUGAGGUUAUGAAUUAAAUUUAAGUUAGAAAUCGUUAUUGAUAUAAAUUUGGUAUUUGAAUAUACUGAUUUUAUGUAUUGAAUAAUAACGUAUGAACUAUUGAAUAGUAUUGCAUAAAUUAAAGAAUAAUAAGUUUCCUGUAUUAUUUUUCUCUAAUUGCAAUGAAGUAGUAUAUGAAGUACGGAAAAAACUAUGAAUCUUGGCUCCAAACUCGUGCAAGAAACUCCAAAAUGUCAAAACAAUAUUGAAAUGUUUAAGAAUUCAUCUCUAGUUUGCAACAAUGUUGAUAUUCAAUUUGCAAUUCAUCUCCAAAAGGAAACACAGCUGUGGUUUUAACCUAUGUGUUCUUCUCUUUCAACUGUUGAUGAAUGUCUACACUUUAUCACAUAUAACUAAUCUUCAUCUAUAUGCAUAAAUGCCAUCCCUACUCAUACUAUAUCAGUUGAAUCUUUUGGUCAAGAAUAUACUACUUCAAACAUUCUUCUAUCCUGCAACGACGUCGUUUCUCAAGAUAGAAGUUUACCUUGAAAUUACACGGCAACAACGAGAAAAAUUAUGGCGACGGCCCAUAAGGCCUCUUGUCCACACCAGCUGAUACUGACCUGAAGGAAGUAACAACACAACUUCUUAUAUGUUAUUUUUUUAAAUUUCAAUUUUUGAAAAUAAAAGUUAAAGAUAAUGUACACUAAUGUUUAAUUAAUCUUAUAUUUAUAAAAUAAAUUGUUAGACGGAGCUAGAAAUUAAGUUCCGGGGGGGCUGAAAUUUUUUUUGGGCUUCCAUAUAUUUAAGUCAUUUUUUACUAAAAUACGAGCAUAAAAGUAAUAAUAACGAACAACAUUUUCAUAGAUUAUAUAGUUUCAAUAUAUUACAAAUUAGUUUCAAUACAUUACAAUUUUUUUUGAACAUUUCAUAUAUUUUAGGUAUUUUUUAUUAAAAGAAAAGCAUAAUCUAAAGCUACGGAGGUCAAUGCGGAGGAGAUAUGGAAUAUUCUCCAUAUCUAUGAUAUAUUUUUAAUUUCAAUUUUUGAAAAUAAAAGUUGAAGAUAAUGUACACUAUUAUUUAAUACUACAAUUUAUUUUAUUAAAGAAAUUAUUAAAAUAAUAAAUAUACUUAUGAAAUAUGUGAAAACUACGAAGAAAGAUAGAGAGAGAAAAUAGAAAUUGACAUUGAAUAACUUGCUGUUCAACAAGAAAGACACAAAAGAAAAUCACUAUUCAUCUUACCCAAAGUGAGAAUGGUAGCUGUAAAGUGAGAAAUUAAAGUUUUCAAUAAUUCAUAAUUAAUCUCUAAUCUUCAUUCUCACUCAUCUCAUAUUUCUCUGCUAUGAAUAUCAUAAACAACCUUCACCAUCAUCCCCGCCCUCCUAUUUCUCUCCCCAUUCAACAAGUUGAGUCUCUCACUCAAAAGAUCAAUUUCCUGCUCGAAUUUCUUGAGGGCUAUAACCCCCAUCGUGGCUACUCCAAAGAAGCAGAUCCAUUGGAGUCUCGCAUUGCAGAUGAGCUUAUGCGACGGUCGCACCCAAUAAUUGGCGCAGAGGAAAUUGUGAUUCACGUUUGUAGAAGAGAAAUCAACUAAAGCAAUCACGUGUUAAUGGCUAAUCAUGAAUUAUCAAAUAUUUGGUUUGUCAAGAUAUGGAAGUAAUUUUAUUAUUAAAUCUAGUCAAAUCCCCUGUAAAACACGAAUUGGUUUGUUAAGAUUGGUUAAAUUACACUAAACUCCUCAUACUAUAUAGACGUGUUUUUGAUGUAUGAAUUUUAAGAUGAUUUCAAGCCAUUGGAUCUUGCAGAUCAAAUGGACAAAAAUAGUUCGUAUUUUAUACACUUAAUAUUGCUCUUAUUAUAGCCCCACCCCUAAAAUAGAUUAACUUAAAUAUUAAGGCAAAAAAUAAUUAAAAUAAGAUUAUUAAGUUUUAAUUAAUUAUAGAACAAAUAAUUCAAAGCCUAAUCUCUAAUCUUCUCUUCAAAAUCCACGCCAUCUUCAACAAAUACUCUACUUCCAUCCACGAGCAUCCAUCUCCAAUCCAUUUAUAUCACAAAUCAUGUAAAACCAUAGCAAAACACACACUAAAUUAAAGUAACUAAAAUAGCCACACAUCAAUGCUACUUCACAAAUAAUAUUUUUUAUUAAAAGCAAAUGAUAAUUUGUAUAAAAUAAACGAUACUUUAUACAAAAACAACAUACUACCCUCCGUCCCUGAAAUAAGUUCCUCUUUUUCCUUUUGGGACGUCCCCCAAAUAAGUUCCUCUUUCUUUCUUUCCAUUUUUGGACAACUACCCCACUACUAAUAAUACUUUAUUAUUCUUACUUUUCACUUUUUCACCACUUCCAAUACUAAUUAUAACACUUUUUCACCUUUCCACCACUCCCAAUACUAAUUAUAACAUAUUUUUCUUCACUAUCAAUACACUUUACCAUUUUCCUUAAAACCCGUGUCGUCCCCAAAGAGGAACUUAUUUUGGGGACGGAGGAGUAUAACACAUUUAACACAUUCAUGAAAAUGACAUCAUUAAAACAUUUAACAUGCAAACGAUACAUUUCAGAAGGAUCGAAUUAGUCUGGACAGGAUUGGCUAUAAAAGCCGAAACAUUAACUCGUGAAGCUGCAACACAACAUUCAAUUCAAACCAUUUAAAUUAACAAACAUGAAAAUCGAGACAAGACUUCCAUCGUUGCUUGCAAUAUUAUAUUUUUCAGUUUCCCUAAUCUUCUUGAAACUCAUAUAUUCCAUCAAGAAAGAUCCACAGCGCCACCGCCACAGCUGCCGCCGGGGCCGCCCGCGUACCCGGUCGUGGGCAGCCUGCCGGAGAUGCUGUCGAAGAAGCCCGCAUUCCGAUGGAUGCACAAUCUCAUGCAAAAACUCAACACGGAGAUCCUCUGCGUCCGCCUCGGCGGCGUCCACGUCAUCUCCGUCGCUUCUCCGGAGCUUUCCAGAGAGUUCCUGAAGAAGCACGACGCGGCCUUCGCCUCCCGGCCCGACGCCGUCUCGGCCCGCCUCAUCAGCGACGGAUACUCGGCGGUGAUCCUCUCUCCCGCGGGCGAGCAGUGGAAGAAAUGAGGAGGGUCAUGGUGUCGGAGGUGCUGGCGGCGGGCGUGUUCCGACGGUUCCACUCGACGAGACGCGAGGAGGCCGAUCACCUCGUGCGGUACGUGUACAGCCGCCGCGACGGGGCGGUGAACGUGAGAGAUGUGGCGCGGCAUUACUGCGCCAAUUUGAUCAGGAAGAUGGUGUUUGGACGACGGCGGGCCGGGAAACGAGGAGAGGGAACACGUGGAUGGAUUGUUCACGAUGCUUUCGUAUCUCUAUGGAUUCGCCAUAGCCGAUUUUGUGCCGUGGUUGGAGGUUUUCGAUUUGGAUGGGCAUAAGAGGAUUGUGAGGAACGCCAUAAACAAGGUAAGGAAAUAGCAUUUCAUUAUGAUUUUCAUAUUUUGACGAUGAAGCGCAGUCUGUUGGUAAGACGCUUCUCCUCCAAUCAAUAGGUCGGGGUUCGAGUCGAGUCACCUAGAAGGCUAGAGUGUGAGUGUGUUUUUUUCCUUCUUUGGGUGUAACAAUUUUAUUUUAUUUUUAAAAAAAGGUAAGGAAAUACCAAGAUCCGUUGAUCAAUGAGAGAAUGGAGAUGUGGGAGCUAGGGCUCAAGACUCAACAAGAUGAUAUUCUUGAUCUUCUGAUUAACCUCAAGAGCGAAUCCGACGAAACUAAGCCCCUCUUGUCACUUCGAGAGAUUAAAGUACAAAUUCUUGUAAGUAUUUAGUUUAACCUAACUAUUUGUUCUUUUUCUUUUUACAAUAUUUCAAUUAAGGGUUUCAUUCUACAG
rnacentral:lncRNA from 1 species